UUGUGUAACAUCCGGUUGCGGCGUUUUGCGACGCUUUAAUUAACGUUGUUGUUGCGUUAUUGAAAAACGUAUUACCAAAAGUUUUUAGGCAUUUGGGUAUUUAUCUCUAUGUGAAUUACGUAAAAUCAAUGGUACAACUAAUUUAGACGCGUAAUAUUACACGACUGGGAAUUGCUUAUUGUGCAAUGUCUCGCUACGGUGAUUGUAAAGUUUAUGUGGGUGACUUGGGCAACAAUGCCAGUAAACCUGAAUUAGAAGAUGCGUUUUCAUACUACGGCCCCUUAAGAAAUGUGUGGGUAGCCAGAAACCCGCCAGGUUUUGCCUUCGUUGAAUUUGAAGAUCCACGUGAUGCUGAAGACGCAAUACGAGGGUUAGAUGGACGGACGAUAUGUGGUCGGCGCGCUCGGGUAGAAAUGUCGAACGGUGGUCGUGGCUAUGGAGGACGUGGACCACCUCCUCGUUCCAGACUCCCACCUCGUCCUUACGACGACCGUUGUUACGACUGUGGUGACCGCGGACAUUACGCCAGAGACUGCACGCGCCGUCGCCGCCGCAGGUUAUCAUUGGCCUGUGCGCCGAGAACGAACUCUUCAGUGUCUGCACUUCUUAUAGUCUGCGCUACGUAGCUUUCACUUCGCGUCGUGUACUCCACUAAUGUUGGCAGCGACUGUAACGUCACUCUGUGAACUACGUAACUACAGCCUACGUGCACACUUCACUUAUUGAGAAGUACAUUGAGUGUAAUGUUCGUUCUGCGCGUCGCGACACGCCUAUUGUAAUCACUGCGUGCACUCACCGGUCGAGGUCCCGUCGUCGCACGCGCUCUCGCUCUCCGAGGUCUGGUUCCCGUUCAAGAAGCCGUUCCCGCUCACGUUCUCGUUCUA